rnacentral:sRNA from 1 species
GUAUAGCCCGGAUCGCAACGGCAUCCUUUUUUGACGAGGAACGAGGAGAAAAAGAUAUAGUGGAGAGCCGGAUUAAGC